ACGUGUAUGUGUAUGAAGAGCAUUUACAUACAGAGACACUUUGCAUGAGAGUGUUUAUAGUGCUGUGAGUUUAACACUUCAUGACUGAGAGCAGAACAGAACACAAUCUUCAUCAUCACACAAGACACAACAACAACAAUGAACAACAUCAUCAUCCUCAUCGUGACUCUGACGCUCGGCAUUCAGGAGAUCUGGGGACAAGUGACAGUGACUCAGAAUCCAGCGAUAAAAUCAAUCAAACAAGGAGAAACUGUUACAAUCAGCUGUAAAACCAGUCAGACACUUUCUAACUGUGGUAGCUGUGUGUCUUGGUAUCAGCAGAAACCUGGAGAAGCUCCUAAACUCCUCAUUUAUUACAUAAACAGACUCCAGUCAGGAACUCCUUCUAGAUUCAGUGGCAGUGGAUCUGGCACUGAUUUCUCUCUGACCAUCAGUAGAGUCCAGACUGAAGAUACAGGAGAUUAUUACUGUAUGAGUGUACACUGUCCUAGUGGUAGCUGUGUGUUCACACAGUGAUAAAGAGUCGUACAAAAACC